rnacentral:misc_RNA from 1 species
GAAAUGCGAUAAGUAAUGUGAAUUGCAGAAUUCAGUGAAUCAUCGAAUCUUUGAACGCACAUUGCGCCCAUUAGUAUUCUAGUGGGCAUGCCUGUUCGAGCGUCAUUUCAACCCUUAAGCCUCUGUUGCUUAGUGUUGGGAGCCUACAGCACCCCCGCUGUAGCUCCCCAAAGUUAGUGGCGGAGUCGGUCUCACGCUCUAGACGUAGUAGGUUCUUAUUCUCGUCUGUAGCUGGGCCGGUCCCCUGCCAUAAAACACCCCAAACUUCUAAAAGGUUGACCUCGGAUCAGGUAGGAAUACCCGCUGAACUUAA